UCUUUGAGAUCUCUUUUAUAUCUAAGUCUCUCUGUCUCUGUCUCUCUACUAUCAAUACUAAUCUCCACUGUGAACUUGUGUUCCUCUGAACUCUGAUAGCCCUUCUUAUGUGUGAUGACAAUGUUAUUCAUUUGCCUUUGUGUGUUAGCUUUCCAUCAUUGUGACAAAAUACCUGAGAGAAGCAAUUUAAAGGAGGGAAUUUUUUUUCUGGCUCACUGUUUUGGAGGUUUUAGGCCAUAUUAUGCUGGCUCCUGGUGUGAGGCAAGACUGAAUGUCAGAGUGGAAGGAGCAUAUGGAGGAAGAAGCUGCUCACCUCAUGGGGGUCAGGCAUCAGAGACAGAGAGAGAGAGAGAGAGAAAGAGAGAGAGCAAGAAGCCCUCAAGGGAGGAGUCUGCACAUAAUCCCUUCAAAGUCACGCCCUGCCCACUCUUGUGGCCUAUGUCCUCCACCAGGCCCCACCUCACAGUAGACCAUUGAGCUAUGAACUCUUCAAUGGACAAAUGCGGUUAGCACUUUUGUGAUCCAGUCACCUCUCUAGGCUCCAUCUCUGAACUUUGCUGCAUUUUGGAUCAAGCCUUCAACACUCAAGUCUUUGGGGGGACUCUUAACCCAUCCCACAAUUAUGAGAACCAGGGAACCAGCUAAACUGAGUCUUCAAAUCAUGGAUCUUGCCUUUUGCUCCUUUGGCCAGUGUUGCGAGUUGGGGUCCAGACAUGGCAUGGAUGCAGACACAGCAAUGCUUUGGGCAUGGAAGCAAGCAGCCCUGGUCUCCGGUCCCUCUCCCUGGAUGAUUUAAACUCAGAAGACAUAGUCCUUCUCCUAUGGGAAAGGCUCCAUAUGGAAUCCCAUGGAGUGAGAGCUCAGCCCAGUAGAAAUUAUUGUAUCUUGGAGACUUAUCCUCAGUU